UAGCAUCUUUGCAUCUUGUGCCCUUGAGCCU
rnacentral:piRNA from 1 species